CACAACAACUUAAUUGUAACCUGCAGUGUGGACAGAAUUUAGUCAUCAAACGAAAUGAACUUCACUUGAAAAUCCACAUAGAAAACAAGAAAUACAUACUGACACAUUAGAAUGUCACCUAAUAAUUGCUAACUUCAUCUAAUAAUCUAAGUCCACAACCAUUUUCCAGCUUUGGUUUAUUAGUUUACUGUCAUGAUAACAGCAGCAGCAGAACACGUCGAACUCAAGCUUUAACUGAAAGUUGAUUUAACUGCACAAAUCCCAACAGAAAUAACUAACUCACAACUAAUCUAACAGAAUUCGGUUAACACAAAAUCUCCUCUCACUAACCUCAAACCAAAUUUGGAUUAACAUCAUGGAGAUCCCUCAAUAAUCAACGUGGAUUGCGUUCGACACUCAAUUCUAACCCUCACUAUGUGUGUACAGAAAGAAAUCAAAAUUCAGAGAACUUACCUGAUUUGACGCUUCAAACAGCUAUCGCGUUGCGAUUUUGGCGCGUGUCGUCGCAGCUAUGCCGCGUGAAUGCAAAGAGAGGGGGUUGCGUGUGGUUUAAGCUCCGCCAAUUGAAGCUUCAACGAGGAGCUUCAAUGGCAUCUUGUUGGAAGAGCUCUGGUGAGGGAGGAAGGUGAGGAUGCGGUUCUGCAGUGCGAGCUGUGUGAAAAUUGGAUAUUGGUGAUUGAAAAACCCCAAUGAUUGGAGAAGGUUAUGAAUAUAUAGUGAUGAAUCUGCAACUGAUUAGGGCAGGAUAUGAAUUUGCAGGUUGAAGUUGUGAUGAUUUUCACUGCCGUGGGGUUUUUUUUGGAAAUAUUCUGUGAAUAGAGGAAGGGUAAUAAUAAAAAUGCUGAAAUGAAAUUCACACCUUGCCGUUAGUGGGUUUUGUAAUUUGAAAAUGAAAUCCAAUUGAAAUGUGAGUAAAAUGUAUUAUGUUUAUGAGCUCUGUCAAUUUUCUGUUAUGCCGUGAGCCAAAUUGUAUUUGCUAUUAUUAUGCUGCCCUGCUACACAAAAUAAAUUA